GUUAAGCGACUAAGCGUACACGGUGGAUGCCCUGGCAGUCAGAGGCGAUGAAGGACGUGCUAAUCUGCGAUAAGCGUCGGUAAGGUGAUAUGAACCGUUAUAACCGGCGAUUUCCGAAUGGGGAAACCCAGUGUGAUUCGUCACACUAUCAUUACGUGAAUACAUAGCGUAAUGAAGCGAACCGGGGGAACUGAAACAUCUAAGUACCCCGAGGAAAAGAAAUCAACCGAGAUUCCCCCAGUAGCGGCGAGCGAACGGGGAGCAGCCCAGAGUCUGAAUCAGCUUGUGUGUUAGUGGAACGGUCUGGAAAGUCCGACGGUACAGGGUGAUAGUCCCGUACACCAAAAUGCACAGGUUGUGAACUCGAAGAGUAGGGCGGGACACGUGGUAUCCUGUCUGAAUAUGGGGGGACCAUCCUCCAAGGCUAAAUACUCCUGACUGACCGAUAGUGAACCAGUACCGUGAGGGAAAGGCGAAAAGAACCCCGGCGAGGGGAGUGAAAAAGAACCUGAAACCGUGUACGUACAAGCAGUGGGAGCCUCUUUAUGGGGUGACUGCGUACCUUUUGUAUAAUGGGUCAGCGACUUAUAUUCUGUAGCAAGGUUAACCGUAUAGGGGAGCCGAAGGGAAACCGAGUCUUAACUGGGCGUUAAGUUGCAGGGUAUAGACCCGAAACCCGGUGAUCUAGCCAUGGGCAGGUUGAAGGUUGGGUAACACUAACUGGAGGACCGAACCGACUAAUGUUGAAAAAUUAGCGGAUGACUUGUGGCUGGGGGUGAAAGGCCAAUCAAACCGGGAGAUAGCUGGUUCUCCCCGAAAGCUAUUUAGGUAGCGCCUCGUGAACUCAUCUUCGGGGGUAGAGCACUGUUUCGGCUAGGGGGUCAUCCCGACUUACCAACCCGAUGCAAACUGCGAAUACCGAAGAAUGUUAUCACGGGAGACACACGGCGGGUGCUAACGUCCGUCGUGAAGAGGGAAACAACCCAGACCGCCAGCUAAGGUCCCAAAGUCAUGGUUAAGUGGGAAACGAUGUGGGAAGGCACAGACAGCCAGGAUGUUGGCUUAGAAGCAGCCAUCAUUUAAAGAAAGCGUAAUAGCUCACUGGUCGAGUCGGCCUGCGCGGAAGAUGUAACGGGGCUAAACCAUGCACCGAAGCUGCGGCAGCGACACUAUGUGUUGUUGGGUAGGGGAGCGUUCUGUAAGCCGUUGAAGGUGGCCUGUGAGGGUUGCUGGAGGUAUCAGAAGUGCGAAUGCUGACAUAAGUAACGAUAAUGCGGGUGAAAAACCCGCACGCCGGAAGACCAAGGGUUCCUGUCCAACGUUAAUCGGGGCAGGGUGAGUCGACCCCUAAGGCGAGGCCGAAAGGCGUAGUCGAUGGGAAACAGGUUAAUAUUCCUGUACUUGGUGUUACUGCGAAGGGGGGACGGAGAAGGCUAUGUUAGCCGGGCGACGGUUGUCCCGGUUUAAGCAUGUAGGCGGAGGUUC
rnacentral:rRNA from 1 species